rnacentral:rRNA from 2 species
GGUUAAGCGACUAAGCGUACACGGUGGAUGCCCUGGCAGUCAGAGGCGAUGAAGGACGUGCUAAUCUGCGAAAAGCGUCGGUAAGGUGAUAUGAACCGUUAUAACCGGCGAUGUCCGAAUGGGGAAACCCAGUGCAAUUCGUUGCACUAUCGUUAACUGAAUACAUAGGUUAACGAGGCGAACCGGGGGAACUGAAACAUCUAAGUACCCCGAGGAAAAGAAAUCAACCGAGAUUCCCCCAGUAGCGGCGAGCGAACGGGGAGCAGCCCAGAGUCUGAAUCAGCUUGUGUGUUAGUGGAACGGUCUGGAAAGUCCGACGGUACAGGGUGAUAGUCCCGUACACCAAAAUGCACAGGUUGUGAACUCGAAGAGUAGGGCGGGACACGUGGUAUCCUGUCUGAAUAUGGGGGGACCAUCCUCCAAGGCUAAAUACUCCUGACUGACCGAUAGUGAACCAGUACCGUGAGGGAAAGGCGAAAAGAACCCCGGCGAGGGGAGUGAAAAAGAACCUGAAACCGUGUACGUACAAGCAGUGGGAGCACCUUCGGGUGUGACUGCGUACCUUUUGUAUAAUGGGUCAGCGACUUAUAUUCUGUAGCAAGGUUAACCGUAUAGGGGAGCCGCAGGGAAACCGAGUCUUAACUGGGCGUUAAGUUGCAGGGUAUAGACCCGAAACCCGGUGAUCUAGCCAUGGGCAGGUUGAAGGUUGGGUAACACUAACUGGAGGACCGAACCGACUAAUGUUGAAAAAUUAGCGGAUGACUUGUGGCUGGGGGUGAAAGGCCAAUCAAACCGGGAGAUAGCUGGUUCUCCCCGAAAGCUAUUUAGGUAGCGCCUCGUGAACUCAUCUUCGGGGGUAGAGCACUGUUUCGGCUAGGGGGUCAUCCCGACUUACCAACCCGAUGCAAACUACGAAUACCGAAGAAUGUUAUCACGGGAGACACACGGCGGGUGCUAACGUCCGUCGUGAAGAGGGAAACAACCCAGACCGCCAGCUAAGGUCCCAAAGUCAUGGUUAAGUGGGAAACGAUGUGGGAAGGCACAGACAGCCAGGAUGUUGGCUUAGAAGCAGCCAUCAUUUAAAGAAAGCGUAAUAGCUCACUGGUCGAGUCGGCCUGCGCGGAAGAUGUAACGGGGCUAAACCAUGCACCGAAGCUGCGGCAGCGACACUAUGUGUUGUUGGGUAGGGGAGCGUUCUGUAAGCCUGCGAAGGUGACCUGUGAGGGUUGCUGGAGGUAUCAGAAGUGCGAAUGCUGACAUAAGUAACGAUAAAGCGGGUGAAAAGCCCGCUCGCCGGAAGACCAAGGGUUCCUGUCCAACGUUAAUCGGGGCAGGGUGAGUCGACCCCUAAGGCGAGGCCGAAAGGCGUAGUCGAUGGGAAACAGGUUAAUAUUCCUGUACUUGGUGUUACUGCGAAGGGGGGACGGAGAAGGCUAUGUUAGCCGGGCGACGGUUGUCCCGGUUUAAGCAUGUAGGCUGGUUGUCCAGGCAAAUCCGGAUAAUCAAGGCUGAGGUGUGAUGACGAGGCACUACGGUGCUGAAGUAACAAAUGCCCUGCUUCCAGGAAAAGCCUCUAAGCAUCAGGUAACAUUAAAUCGUACCCCAAACCGACACAGGUGGUCAGGUAGAGAAUACCAAGGCGCUUGAGAGAACUCGGGUGAAGGAACUAGGCAAAAUGGUGCCGUAACUUCGGGAGAAGGCACGCUGGUGUGUAGGUGAAGCCCCUGCGGGUGGAGCUGAGACCAGUCGAAGAUACCAGCUGGCUGCAACUGUUUAUUAAAAACACAGCACUGUGCAAACACGAAAGUGGACGUAUACGGUGUGACGCCUGCCCGGUGCCGGAAGGUUAAUUGAUGGGGUUAUCCGUAAGGAGAAGCUCUUGAUCGAAGCCCCGGUAAACGGCGGCCGUAACUAUAACGGUCCUAAGGUAGCGAAAUUCCUUGUCGGGUAAGUUCCGACCUGCACGAAUGGCGUAAUGAUGGCCAGGCUGUCUCCACCCGAGACUCAGUGAAAUUGAACUCGCUGUGAAGAUGCAGUGUACCCGCGGCAAGACGGAAAGACCCCGUGAACCUUUACUAUAGCUUGACACUGAACAUUGAGCCUUGAUGUGUAGGAUAGGUGGGAGGCUUUGAAGCGUGGACGCCAGUCUGCGUGGAGCCAACCUUGAAAUACCACCCUUUAAUGUUUGAUGUUCUAACGUUGGCCCCUUACCGGGGUUGCGGACAGUGUCUGGUGGGUAGUUUGACUGGGGCGGUCUCCUCCUAAAGCGUAACGGAGGAGCACGAAGGUUAGCUAAUCCUGGUCGGACAUCAGGAGGUUAGUGCAAUGGCAUAAGCUAGCUUGACUGCGAGCGUGACGGCGCGAGCAGGUGCGAAAGCAGGUCAUAGUGAUCCGGUGGUUCUGAAUGGAAGGGCCAUCGCUCAACGGAUAAAAGGUACUCCGGGGAUAACAGGCUGAUACCGCCCAAGAGUUCAUAUCGACGGCGGUGUUUGGCACCUCGAUGUCGGCUCAUCACAUCCUGGGGCUGAAGUAGGUCCCAAGGGUAUGGCUGUUCGCCAUUUAAAGUGGUACGCGAGCUGGGUUUAGAACGUCGUGAGACAGUUCGGUCCCUAUCUGCCGUGGGCGCUGGAGAAUUGAGGGGGGCUGCUCCUAGUACGAGAGGACCGGAGUGGACGCAUCACUGGUGUUCGGGUUGUCAUGCCAAUGGCACUGCCCGGUAGCUAAAUGCGGAAGAGAUAAGUGCUGAAAGCAUCUAAGCACGAAACUUGCCCCGAGAUGAGUUCUCCCUGAGACUUUAAGUCUCCUGAAGGAACGUUGAAGACGACGACGUUGAUAGGCCGGGUGUGUAAGCGCAGCGAUGCGUUGAGCUAACCGGUACUAAUGAACCGUGAGGCUUAACCUU